AUUAAUAAUCGGGGUCGAGUACCCCAAAAUUUAAC
rfam:Flavobacteriaceae bacterium CG1_02_35_72 cg1_0.2_scaffold_7240_c, whole genome shotgun sequence.